GGGUCCAUAGCUCAGUUGGCUAGAGCGCCUCGUUUGCACCGAGGAGGUCAAGGGUUCGACUCCCUUUGGAUCCACCA
rnacentral:tRNA from 1 species